AGCAGCCGCGGUAAUUCCAGCUCCAAUAGCGUAUAUUAAAGUUGUUGCAGUUAAAAAGCUCGUAGUUGAAUUUCGGGAUUGGCGCAUCGGUCGUGCCUCACGGGGUAUGAACUGGUGCAGUCAAUUUCUCACCUUCUGGAGAACCGCGAUGUCCUUAAUUGGAUGCCGCGGGGAACCAGGACCUUUACUUUGAAAAAUUAGAGUGUUUAAAGCAGGCAUUUUUGCUUGAAUACAUUAGCAUGGAAUAAUAAAUAGGACGGCAUGGUUCUAUUUUGUGGUUUCUAGGACCACCGUAAUGAUUAAUAGGGAUAGUUGGGGGCAUUAGUAUUCAAUUGUCAGAGGUGAAAUUCUUGGAUUUAUUGAAGCUAACUACUGCGAAAGCAUUUGCCAAGGAUGUUUUCAUUAAUCAAGACGAAAGUUAGGGGAUCGAAGACGAUCAGAUACCGUCGUAGUCUUAACCAUAAACUAUGCCGACUAGGAAUCAGACGAUGUUAAUUUUUAAUGUACUCGUUUGGCACCU
rnacentral:rRNA from 1 species